GGUGCCAGGAAAGCAAUCUCAGGGCUGAGCCAGACUAGAAAGAAAAAAAUAGGGACAGACAAAGGAGAGCCUUUCGACACAGUCGAUGCACACACUUGCCACGGUGACAGGGUCCUGAAGCCCCAUGAGAAACCCCACUGUGAAGUGCUGUAUGGCAAAAGGUAGGCAUGUCAGCUUGUUAGACACCCACUCCAGCCUCAGGCAAUUAAAUGCUUCCCUUACCUGGUGAGCGAGGCCUGUGUGCGUCAGGA